rnacentral:misc_RNA from 1 species
AAAAAGUGUGGCUAGCAAAAUCAGCUAGUUCAGUACAAAGAACUAGGACUAACAAAAUUAUACGUCAAGACCAACAUUAUCAUAUACAGUAACAGGAAAAUGUAGAACUACAAGUAGAAUACAGGAUUGGCAAAUGACUGACACUCCAAAAAGGCAAUCACAAUUCACAAAGACAGACUACAUAAAACUAGCAAGCAAAAGCCAUUCUAACGCGGUUUUUUUGGAGGAACAUCAAUCUUCUAAUACUUCAUCAUCUUCAUCGGGAUCAAAUUCCUCCUCUUCUUCUUCGUCACCAACUUCUGCCUCUUCUUCUACAUCGUCUACAAUGAAACCCCCCAGCGUUUCAUCCUCCUCAUCUUCUUCUUCAUCAUCUUCCUCGUAUUCUUCUUCAGAUGGUCGAGUUUUUUGCUGUGUAGAAGGUUUAUUCCUUUUUGCAGUAGACUUGUCCUUGGACCUUGUAAUGUAUUUAGAUCCCUGAAGUUUCUUAGAUACCGUGGGCAGAUCCUUCUCAUCUUCACUUUCCCCAGUCCACUCAUCAUCAUCUCCCUUGCCUUUUUUCUUCCGUUUUCUCCUAGAGCCCUUUCUAUCAGAACCCUCAU